CUUCCCCCCCCCCCCUCCUCCCGCCCCGCCUGUCCGCGCGCGCACACUCGGCCCCCCGUGGCAGCGGGACCCACCGGGGGCGGCGCGCGAGCCCCGAGACUCGAGGCGGGGGAGGGGGGCCCACGUCAGCGGGGCGGGGAGCCGGGAAGUGCACCCCGAGUCGGCUCAGAUCACAUGGGCUGGGUGUGGGGGAGGGGGGAGGCGCGGGGAGCUCAGCCCGGGCGGCUCGCCGGGCGGGGAGGCGGCAGCGCCCCGGACCCCCCUAGUUCGCGCUAGCCAUUCAAGUUCUCGGGUCCCUGCGCCCGAUCCUGGAGGUGGCACCCGCCGCCCGCCCUGCCUCUGUGCCCCGGUUUCCAGCCACCGCGCGGAAAUUUAGGUCAAGGACGCCGGGAGCACACCCACACCCUGCGCUCCCGGUGCGGUCCCCGAGACCCCGGGAAUCGGAGGGGCUUCGGGAUGGAGGAGACACCCCCCCCACCCCCACCCCCCGCACAAACACCAGCCACAAGUUUUAUUUUCCCUUCGCGCGGCAAGUUCUCUGGCUCCCGCUCCACACCGGCACGUCCUGCACGGCUCCCCGCCCUCCCCCGGCAGAGGUUGGACAGAGUUAGAAAUCCCGUGUUCCGGUUGAAGAGGUUUACUCCCUUCACCCCGGUCUGUUCCCCUUCCUCGUCUACAGUUGCAAAUGAUAGCACGCAGCCAAGGUGCACCAGCUAGACUGCUCAUGAACGGCAAUUACAGUUAAGAGAUUGCAUGAAUCUCAGAAGAGACUUUGAUCUUUAGACUUUUAAAUAAGGUUGAGACUGUUAUAGACUAUGAAGACUUUUGAAGUUGGACUGAAUGCAUUUUUGCAUUAUGAUAUGACUACAAGGCCAAGGAGUGGAAUGUGGUGGUUUGAAAGAAAAUGGCCCCUAAAGGGAGUGGCACUAUUAGGAGGUGUGGCAUUGUUGGAGUAGGUGUGGCGUUGUUGGAGGAAGUGUGUCACUGUGGAGGUGGGCUUUGAGGUCUCAUAUACACUCAAGCCACACCCAGUGUCUCACCACUACCUGUUGCCUGCACAAGAUGUAGAAUUCUCAGCUACCUCUCCAGCACCAUGUCUGCCUGCACACUGCCAUGUCCCACCAUGAUGAUAAUGGACUCAACCUCUGAAUUACAAGCCACCCAAUUAAAUGUUUUCCUUUAUAAGAGUUGCCAUGGUCAUGAUGUCUAUUCACAGCAAUAGAAACCCUAAGACACAUUCCUAGUAAAAAAUAAUUGUGAAAUUGCUGUGGGAUGGUCUGUAUGUCAAAUGUGUUGCUCUGAUUGGUCAAUAAAUAAAACACUGAUUGGCCAGUAGCCAGGCAGGAAGUAUAGGCGGGAUUAACAGAGAGGAGAAUUGAGAGAACAGGAAGGCAGAGGGAAACACUGCCAGCCGCCGCCAUGACAAGCAGCAUGUGAAGAUGCCGGUAAGUCACGAGCCACGUGGCAAGGUAUAGAUUUAUAAAAAUGGGUUAAUUUAAGAUAUAAGAACAGUUAACAAGAAGCCUGAGCCAUUAGGCCAAACAGUUUAAAUAAUAUAAGCGUCUGUGUGUUUAUUUUAUAAGUGGGCUGUCAGACUGCUGGGGCUUGGCGGGACCUGGAGAAAAAACUCUCCAGCUACAUGAAAUGAAUAUGAUGUACACAGAUGUUCACAACAACACCAUCACAGUAUCCAAAGAGUAGAAACUGCCCAAGAGCCCAUCAAUACAUGAGUAGAUAAACAAAUGCUUAUCUGCAGUAUAGACAUACAGUGUAAUAUUACCCCUACAUAAAAAAGAUGAAAAAUAAUACAUGUAAUAAGUAUAGUGUAAUGUAAGUGGCUAGAGGACAUUAUGUCAAGUGAAAGAAGCCAAAUAGAGAAGAGGUAAUAGUGCAUGAUUCCACCUAUAGGAGGUUCCCAGAGGGGUCAAAUUCAUGACAAUGGUAGAACGGUG